ACCCGUGUCCCCUGCAUCGGCAGGCGGACUCUCAACCACUGCGCCACCAAGGAAGCCCAACUUUUCUGGAUUUCUUCUCUGAUUUUUGGUCUAUACUGGUUUUCUAAUUCAAGUCUGUUUUGAUAAUUUUGUGUUGUUUUCAAAACUUUUUCAUUUAUUGAAUUUUCUAAAUUUCCCAGUAUUAUACCCUAUAGUAUUUCUAAUAGCUUGAAAAAUAAAAAAAUAUAGCCCAUAGUUCCUAAUUUUGCCAUUUGCAUUAAUGUUUAAAUAAGAACCAGUUCUUCAACAUAUCAGUUUUACCCUUCUGAAAAUAUUUUGUAAUGACAUUUUAUCUUUAGCGUUUACUCCCUUCACUUUUCCCCACAAUUGUGGGGUUUUUUUCUGACACUUUGAGUUGAAUGUUUAUUUUCCUUCUUUAAUAACUACAGUUCUUAAAGGUAUGGAUUUAUAUGUGGUACUGUGAUAUGCGGUAUUUUCAUUUUCAUUGUAACUCAUUAAUUACCACUUCCAUACUAAUCACUCCUCAUCUCUUCAGUCUAGCAUGGAAUUCAUCACUGCGCUUCAAAUUCAUAUUAAAAUACCUAAGCUUAAGAGCACCUCAAAACCAACAUGUAAGGAAUCUCAUCACCUUGACUGCAUCCCAAGCUGCAGGUAUUCCUACUGCAGUCCUCUGCCAUUUCCUGGGUAUACCACUGGUUAAUGAGUUUGGUGUGGAGCUAGGUUGGAUCCAGGAUAGCACUUACAAUGCCAAGAAAGAGUUCAAGAAGGAAAAUACUAGUUUUUGGUGUGAGAGACAACAGAAAGUGAAAGAGGAUACCUAGAAAGAAGGAGUCAUUACAGAUUGAAGGAAGUGAAGGAUUGAAGGAGGUGAAGAGGUACACACUUUUUCUAUGAAGAUAUUACUUUCCUUGUUUUGACUGCCAACCGAAAUGAACUAGGAUAGGAUAUUGGUUUUUUGUGCAUGAUAAGCCACGACAUGUUAAAUGUGAAGGAUGCACCAUUAAAAAAAAAUAGUUAUAAACUUGGAUUUCGUGUCUUUUGGCCCUUGGAAGAGCUGCUGAUUCAGAGCUGUUUUGGCAUUGCGCUUUCUGUUAAUUUUGAGAAUUGUUACAAGAACUACCAAAAAACCUAUUGUUGAAUUUAUUACAAGGCUGUCACUGAUGAGUUUAAUAAAAUAAAGUUAUCAUCAUUAUUACUACCUCUUAGGGAGGUAUUAGCAUCUCUAGUUCACUAGUGAGGAAAAGCAAUUUAGAGAAAUUAUCCAAGGUCACACCUGUAGUAACUGGUGGAACCAGUUUCUGAGUAACCAAAGUCAACCUGUCCACACCAAAGUCAACUGAAUUCUUUCCAUUAUACCAUGCGGAUUAUUUAAUAUACCUUCAUAUAUAUCCUCGAUAUAUACAUAUUUGUUGAAUCUAAUUAAUGUUUUAUUUAUGUACAAAGACUCUCAUAAUAGAAAUGAAGACAGUGAAUCAUAUUGAAAUUAGUUACUCACAGUUAUGGGUAUAACAAUAACAAUAGUUAACAAUGGGUGAUUAGCAUACGAGGUACUGUUCUAAGCAAAUUUUAUCUCAUUUAAUCCUUAUACAGCCUCAGAGGUAGAUACUAUUAAACAUAUCUACUUUAUAGGACUU